CCUACGGGAGGCAGCAGUAGGGAAUUUUCCGCAAUGGGCGAAAGCCUGACGGAGCAAUACCGCGUGAGGGAUGACUGCCUGUGGGUUGUAAACCUCUUUUCUCAAGGAAGAAGUCCUGACGGUACUUGAGGAAUAAGCAUCGGCUAACUCUGUGCCAGCAGCCGCGGUAAUACAGAGGAUGCAAGCGUUAUCCGGAAUCACUGGGCAUAAAGCGUCUGUAGGUGGUUUGGUAAGUCUGCUGUUAAAGACUGGGGCUCAACCCCAGAAAAGCAGUGGAAACUGCCAAACUUGAGCGUGGUAGAGGUAGAGGGAAUUCCUAGUGUAGCGGUGAAAUGCGUAGAUAUUAGGAAGAACACCAAUGGCGAAAGCACUCUACUGGACCAUAACUGACACUGAGAGACGACAGCUAGGGGAGCAAAUGGGAUUAGAUACCCCAGUAGUCCUAGCCGUAAACGAUGGAUACUAGAUGUUGCACGUAUUAACCCGUGCAGUAUCGUAGCUAAGGCGUUAAGUAUCCCGCCUGGGAAGUACGCUCGCAAGAGUGAAACUCAAAGGAAUUGACGG
rnacentral:rRNA from 1 species